CUUAGUUACAUAGAUGCUUGACGCAAUAUACCUAUUGCCCUGGCUGAUAAUUGUAGGGUGGCUACUACCGCCAAUGGCAUACAUGAACCAAUGAGUGUAGUCAUUGUUGACGACAUGAAAAAAACCUAAUCGACACCUAGGCAUCCUGUCCACCAAUCCUUUACCGAAGCGGUUCAAAGCAACAGUGAUCUGCAUCUUCUCGUCGGCAGCAUAGGUGUCACUUGCUCCAAAUAGCAGCACCUACAAUUUUUUCAUUUCAAUUAUAUUGUUUUGUCACUAAAAAAAAAAACCUAUUCGAGCUUAGUUUAAAAUAGAAAAGAAAGCAAGAUUGCCUCGUUGUGGUCAGUGAAAUGGCAGUUUGAAAUGGUAAUGGCAGUGGAACCCUGAAUAACAUCGAUAAGACCAUCAGAGGAAUCAUAAAGAGAAAGAUGGUCAAGCCAAAUGUUGGUUGCUCCAAAAAGAGAGAUCCCAUCUCCAUCGCUGGCAGUCCUUAACCCAAGGUGGUUUUCAGCAUCCCUAAUGAUGCCACCAGUAGUGGGUUUAAUGUGAUGGAUAUGGAGGCCAUGAAUAAUGAUGUUCCUAGCAAACUGGACAGUAAUACCAGCACCAUAGCAAAUAUGUACAUUAGCUCCCCUCGCAUCGAUGGUCUUGUCGCUUGUAACAAUGAGCUCUUGUUCCAGCUUGAUGAUCAUGGAUUUUUUGAAAGUGAUCCAAAGUGGCCUGAGUUGGGUGACUGCAUGACGUAGGGUUCCAGGCUUGGGGUUAGCACUAUCAUCACUAGGGUCAGUGACCACGUAAAACUUACCGUCCUUUCCACCGGUAGUACCACGAGCAAAUCCAGGGGCACAGUCGGCCAACCUCUUCCUGUUCUUUACCC
rnacentral:lncRNA from 1 species